rnacentral:rRNA from 1 species
UUUUAGAUGAGUUUGGUGAUAGCUCUGAUUGAACGCUGUCUAAGUGCUUGACACAUGCUAAUCGAACGAUUAAUACAAUUGAAAAAUUAAAUUAAUAGUGGUGUAAGGGUGAGUAUAAGAUAUUUUUGCCUACCUUGAAGUAAGGGAGUAAUAAAAUCCCUUAUAAUAGUAAAGGUGGUAAUAUUACCAUCGCUUUGAGAGGACGAUAAAUAUCAUAGAAAAAGGUAGUUGUUAAGGUAAUGGCUUAACAAGCUGUAAAUUUUCUUAGUCGUAACUGAGAGGUUGAUCGACCACAUUGGGUCUGAAAAAACCCCAAUGCAAAUAUGCACAGCAGUGAGGAAUUUUGGUCAAUGGCCUAACGGCCGAACUGGCAACUUAGGGAAACGACAAUUGGUUGUCAAAUGAAGUUUUGUCUAUAUAUUGAUAAUGACAAUAUAUAUAAAUAGUCUUGACUAAUUACGUGCCAGCAGUCGCGGUAAUACGUAAGAGACAAGUGUUAUUCAUCUUAAGUAGGUUUAAAGGGCACCUAGACGGUCAAAAUGACUUUAUAUAAAGUAGUAUUUGACUAGAGUUUUAUGUAAGAAGUACAGUACUUUUAAGUGGAGAGAUGAAAUUCUGUGAUACUCUAGGGACUGGUAAAGGCGAAGGCAGUCUUCUAUGUAAAAACUGACGUUAAAGGGCGAAGGCACAGAGAACGAACAGGAUUAGGUACCCUAGUAGUCUUUGCAGACAAUGAUGAAUGCCAUAGAUUAGAUAAUUAUUUGGUCUAUAAAUGAAAGUGUAAGCAUUUCACCUCAAGAGUAAAGUGGCAACACUGGAACUGAAAUCACUAGACCGUUUCUGACACCAGUAGUGAAGUAUGUUAUUUAAUUCGAUGAUCCACGAAAAACCUUACCACAAUUUGAAUACUUAAUUUUAAUUAAGAUACAGGUGUUGCACGGCUGUUUUCAGUUAAUGUUGUGAAACUGUGGUUUCUCCAUGUAAUUAACGGAAUCCCUAUCUCUAUUUAUAGUUUUUAUAGAGCAUUUUUUCUGUAUACCGGAAAUAACAAAGGGGACAAAGACAAGUCAUCAUGGCCCUUAUAUUGUGGGCUAUAAACGUGCCGCAAUACUCCUAAACAAAGAGAUGCGAAAAUGUGAAUUCAAGCUAAUCUCAGAAAAUAGGAUACAAAAUUUAGUGAGAAGGAUUAUAGUCUGAAAUUCGACUAUAUGAAUAAGUAAUUGCUAGUAAUCGUGAAUCACCAUGUCACGGUGAAUAUAACCUCGGAUUGGUACUAACCACUCGUCACAUGCUGAAAGGAGUACUGUGCAAUAAGUUUGCUCUUUUACUGUAAAAAUAUAAUAAUUAUAAUUAGACCUUUAUAGUGGAAUUCACCGAAUGCGAGACUCUAAUCAGUGUUAAGUCGAAAUACGGUUCGUGUAGUGGAAGUUGCACGGGAUUGAUUAACCAU